rnacentral:misc_RNA from 1 species
GAUGAAGAACGCAGCGAAAUGCGAUAAGUAAUGUGAAUUGCAGAAUUCAGUGAAUCAUCGAAUCUUUGAACGCACAUUGCGCCCGUCAGUAUUCUGGCGGGCAUGCCUGUUCGAGCGUCAUUACUCCCCUCAAGUCCCCUGUGGACUUGGUGUUGGGGAUCGGCGAGGCUGGUUUUCCAGCACAGCCGUCCCUUAAAUUAAUUGGCGGUCUCGCCGUGGCCCUCCUCUGCGCAGUAGUAAAACACUCGCAACAGGAGCCCGGCGCGGUCCACUGCCGUAAAACCCCCCAACUUUUUAUAGUUGACCUCGAAUCAGGUAGGACUACCCGCUGAACUUAAGCAUAUCAAUAAGCGGAGGA